UAACAGGUCUGCCUGGGCAAACAUGGAUC
rnacentral:piRNA from 1 species